AGCUAAACCCCGGUCCUCACAGUUCAGCACGUUGCAAUCCUGUGUCGUUCCGUCCAAUCUAAUCCAAUCUCAAGGACCCCAGUUCCUGAGCAACCCUGGCUUGGCUCGGCCAAAGGGAAGCGUCUACAGAAUCUGAGUCUAGAAUGCCCGGAGGGUUUACCAAGACAUAGCGGGUGUCAUAGAUGUGAAAAAGCUUCUGCUAUACCAGGGUCAGGAACGGAGCAAAACUGAAAACCGCACAGGAUGUGGUCUGCCAGGUGCCAGCAUCACAGCUCAAAUCCUUAAGAAGCUCCAGCCGCAGGCACGGAAAUAAACAGCUUCUCCCUGCCCUGUAUACGUCUCCGAUUUUACCCAGGAUGGGGCUGAGGAAGCAACACAGAUUCCCAAACGUUACUUUUUUUUUUUUAUUUUGCUUGAGAGCCAAGGCAAUAUUAGACAAGCCUUACUCCCUAAUUAGUGCCUGACAAGAACCAUAUCUCUGUCCCAAUCCUUCUAUUCAAAGUAGGCACAAUUUGCUUUUACCAAAUGUAAAACUCAUGUCAAAGCCAUGCUGUGAGUAUUUACACCAGAGAAAUCGGCAAAUGCUACACGUCGGGGUUGUUUUUUGUUUUUCUUUUUGCUUUUUUUUUCAGAGAGCUGAUUGUCAAGACUUUACCAGCACACUGCUGGUAAAUUUCCAAAGGCCAAUUUAAAGAAAUUUUUUUAACAGAACAUGUAAAAAAAAAUCAACGUGAAGUCAACAUGCUCCAGGGAAAUCAGACAAUUGAUAAAGCAUGUCUAUUUCUGUAGUGUAUACUCCAGCCUGUUUCCCCCUCCUACCUCAGAACUCAUCAGGCCCAGAAGGCUCCCAGCCCCAGAGGUUCCCAGAGCUCUUCAGGUGGAAUGUUGAGUCUGCACAAGCCAGGAUGGUGACUCUGGAGAAGUUCUCCAGAAAAGAAUCAGCAUCUAGAGUCUCCUGAGUUCCAGGCCCUUAGAAAUUUAGACUCCAGAACCACUGCCAAAGUGACCCCCUCAGCCCAGCCCUUCGGUACCCAGCAUCCACUGUCCUCAGCCCAGCCCUUCCGUACCCAGCAUCCACUGUCCUGGUGGGAGUCCGCUGUGCUGCUCCAAGAAGACAGACCCUCACCAUUACCGGAAAGACUGACCCUCCUGUGUCCAGGUCCUGUGGCCCAGACUCAGCUCUGGAAGAGAAAUCUGGAUUUACAAUGCUCAGUACGUCGCUCAAAAUCUGCACUCGAUGACGUCUGUAAGCUCUUGGUCCCAGCCUGGGCUGCGAAGCCUGAGGCUUGGGCAGACAAUGCCGUCCCGCCGUCAUCUCUGCUCCCUCUUCGAUCGCUAAGCUCCCACAGCAUUGAUCUAACCAGACAUGGGCCCAGGGAGAGAGCUGUCUUCCCCACCUCCCAGCCCCAAUCCCUCAAUCCCUCGCCUGCCGUGCCAAGACUGGUCAAGGGAAAGUCCAGGAAGAAAGCAUGGUAAGGGGCACCGUGCUGCCUGCGCCCGCCCCGCUGUGCAGAAUGCAGAGGCUCAGGAUGCGGUGCGCAGAGACUCAGUCCCAACCGUCUUGUGGCUUCUUACCACGUAUCUCCCAGGAAGUCACCAUGAGGCUUAGUUCUUCCUUCCUGUGACUGGGGUAAAGGAGAGAACUGUCUCCUUGGACAUCAUCAUCCAUACGCCCGGCCCGAACGUCAUCUCUGACCCAAACACCAAAUCCAGACGGGCAACCACGGCUGUGGGGUGUGGAGGGGGAAUCUGAACACCAACCUGGAGGUCAGACUUGAAGGAGACGGCGACGCUGCCUUCGCCCCAUUCACAAUAUACAACCUUCGAUGGGCCACCUCCCCAGUGAGGCUUCAUCAAGGGGGCUUGGUCAACUUCCUUUUUGUGUGAACGAAAACAUACGUUUCCAGGCGCCUAUUAAGGGCUUGAGUCUGUGUCAGAGACGAGCCACACAAGUCAACGGACCUCACAGUCUAAUGUGGAGGGCACACCUCUGACUAUUCAAAAGUCAUAUAUAGCAUAUUAACCGUAGAUUUUAACAAAUUAGCCUUGAAAUACCUGCAGUUUGUCACAAUGGAAGGCUCACUUCUCACUGGGUGACACGUCCAUAUGGGGGCCCCCGGUUGGCAGUUGGAGCUCCUCCAUCAGGUGACUCAGGUGCCCAGAUUCUUCCAACUUUGGGGUCCAACCUCCCCUAGAACCUUGGAGUGCUCUGUUACCAGUGAGGGGAAAGAGGAAGAGAGAGUGGAAAGGGCUCAUCCGUGCCUUUUAAAUAAAAAAUCUGAAUGUGACCAGGCGCAGUGGCUCACGCCUGUAAUCCCAGCACUUUGGGAGGCCAAGGCAGGCAGAUCACAAGGUCAAGAGAUGGAGAC
rnacentral:lncRNA from 1 species